UAGGGAAUCUUCCACAAUGGACGAAAGUCUGAUGGAGCAACGCCGCGUGAGUGAUGAAGGUUUUCGGAUCGUAAAACUCUGUUGUAAGGGAAGAACACGUACGAGAGGUAAUGCUCGUACCUUGACGGUACCUUACGAGAAAGCCACGGCUAACUACGUGCCAGCAGCCGCGGUAAUACGUAGGUGGCAAGCGUUGUCCGGAAUUAUUGGGCGUAAAGCGCGCGCAGGCGGCCUUUUAAGUCUGAUGUGAAAGCCCCCGGCUCAACCGGGGAGGGCCAUUGGAAACUGGAAGGCUUGAGUACAGAAGAGAAGAGUGGAAUUCCACGUGUAGCGGUGAAAUGCGUAGAGAUGUGGAGGAACACCAGUGGCGAAGGCGACUCUUUGGUCUGUAACUGACGCU
rnacentral:rRNA from 1 species